AGAAGCAGGAAGACAAGUCAAGAAGCCAUAAUAGCCGGGGCCAGCCGACAAGGACCUGUUUUAGCAAGAGCUGAAUGAAAAUGAAGACUUAGGAGAGCAUCUGUGCCCCCUUCACAGAACUGUAACGAGAUGGCGGCACGUGGGCAGAAGUGUUUGUGCUGUACAAUUAGAGUCUCCGAUGCCCCUGCUCACACAUCCUUUUAUUAAUAAGUUGGCUUUGGACGAUGACCACUGGCAGCAGAAGCAGGGUUUAUGAGCCCAAGCCUGGCCUGUUCCAGGACACCCGUGGGAAGAAGAAACACGAACAGGGUAUCAUCGCAGGUUGCAACCUCCACUGUAGAGAAGAGUCAGCAAGCACACUCACUGUCCAUCUUGCAGUUUAUAUGAUUGUGAAACGGCAGUGUCUCUCUCUACUGAGAACAUAGGUGUGAUGUGACCCGCUAGCCUCCUGCUCCUUUCACUAUGG
rnacentral:lncRNA from 1 species